AGAUGGAGAGAUGGGACUACAGGGUCUCCACAUUGACUCGGCUAGCAACUUUUAGAGCCUCUACUCCUUGAAUUCUCCCCAUUAUAAAAACUCUGUAACUAGGAACUACUGCUUGAGUUUGCUUUCCCCUCGUCUCCUUCCCAGUCACUUUGCCUUUUGUUUGUGCCUUCCAAGAUUAUGUCUGAUUCUUGAUUUUUGUAAGAUGCUUUGAGGACUUUUUUUUUUUCCUUCAGAAGAGUGGAGGCAAAAUGCUUUAAAUAUGUUGGCUGUUAACUUGAGCAAUAAUAUGUCAAUUGGUUAGUUAAGUACAUCUACUACUUACUGGCAUGUCUUCAGUCUUUCACAACAAGUUUAAUGAAUUGUAAAGGAUUGUAACCCGCUCUGGAACCUCACAGUGAAGGGCAGGUAUUAAAAUAAGUAAAUAACGUAGAAUGUGAGUGGUCCUUAACAUGAGUACCAUGAAAAUUGGCAUUUUCUCAAUGUGUAUAAUGUUAAUUUCUUUUGUAAAAGUUGCUCUAUAUGGAAACAAACAUGAACUCUGUGACCCUUUUGACGAACUUGGAAUCUCUUUAUUGGACAUAUAAGCUGUAUUACAUAUGCUCAACAUUUUUCACGUAAUUACAUUUGGGUAUUCUGCCCAUUAGGCAAUUGCUCCAUACCUGUUCAGACAUUCUUUUCCCAUCCAGUCAUCUUCUCAGUUCAGAAGUGACCCAUCUCAUAGUUAAGAUUAGUCCUUCAUUCUCUUGACUAGUAUAUUCAGGAAUUAGCUGGUUGCAGUUACAGCACUGCUUGAUUUUUAAAAAGAAAAGUAAGCUGUGCAGUGAUUAUGAUCUUCCUUUAUUAUUACAUCAGAUGGGCAGAGUGGUACCUUUAUUGAAAAUGUAAAGUCUUAAUAGUGACAGUUUGUGAGGGAGAAGUCAGGGGAGGCAGAGGUAAUGGGCUGAAUAUGAGCAAAUGCAGUUAUUGGUACCUAGAUGCCAUUUAAAUCAGGGCUAAAGAGUUAAGCCAAAAGCUGGUGGGUUUUGAGUUCAGAUAGAGGACAAUGAUGAGGCUAUUAGCAGAAAUUAUUGGAAGGAGCAUGUAAAGCUUAGCACUGGGAAAUAGAGUAAUUUAAGUGAGGUAGGAGGCUUGGAUAGAGAAAGGUAGUAUAAUUAUAAGAGCAAAAAGUGGGAAAUGAGGACAGAAAGGUAAGGAUGGAGAUGGUCACGGGGAGCUUUGAAGGUAAGGACAAGAAGUGUCUGCUGAAUGACAGCGUAGGGAAAUCUGUGGAGGGGCAUGAUUUUGGCAAUGCGUAUUUAACGGAAGUGAAAGCAACUGAGAUGAAGGGGAAAUUCUAGUACUCAAAUCAGUGUUGAUCAGAAUUUUAGUUAAAGGGGAUGUGGCAAAGUGGUGUAUCUACCCCUCCUCCCAAUUGUUUCAGGAGAAGCAUCAUCCUAGCUGAAUCCCAGCCUACCCCCAUCCUUACCUGUAGCUGCAUAUUGAGCAUCUAGGUGGGACUGAAAUACAUGCGAUUUAGGAACAUAGAAAGUUGCCUUAUACUGAGUCACUUCAUGUAUUUCUCUAGAUGACUAUUGCCAACACUGAAUGGCAGUGGCUAUCCAGGGACUCAGGCAGGAGUCUUUCCCUGUCCUGGUUUGGACAUGCUGAGGAUUAAGCAUGGAUUGAAUUUCUGCAUGAAAAUCUUGUGCUUUUCCAUUAACUCAUGUCUUUUUCCUUUGAGCCACAGCCCUUCCCUAACAAGCCCACCACCACCACCACCAAAUCACAAGGGAGCUUUGAGAAACUUCAACUGAGGACAGAGAAUACCAUGGAGGAGAUUAUAUACAGACAUUUCUUAUUUUAAGGUUGAAGACAGGCAGACCUAGUAUCAGUGUUCGAAACUCCCAUUGUUCUAAGUGCAUUUUGCAACAGGGAAUUUCAUUAGCAUGAGCACUUUCUGAGCUCUGGGCGCAGCACUGCGCCUAAGAUUUCAGAUUAAAAGUGCAGAGUGGAAGGAAAGGAGGACGUUUUCCUGCCUCCACACUUCCAGCUACUCUCUGAAGACUGGAGAAGAGAAUAUUAGGGGGGUGGGCAGGGGAAGGACUAGUCACUAGAUCAUGUGGGAAAUGAACAUAUUAUUUUAGUUGCAGUUCAUUCAUUUUCAGCUUUGUAUUCUUAAAAAAAAAAAUGCACCUAGACAUUCUGUUCUUGUGCCCAUAACCUAGGUUUAAGGUUCCAUUUAGCUCCUAGCUUUCAUAUCUCGGUUUCUAACCCUGCCUAGUUUCUGUGGAGCCUGUCCAGUCCAGACAUACACUUUGCUUUUCAGGGCUGAUUGGUUUCUAGGCUGUACUCCCAGCAGUGUUGCAUCGGGCUUCCAAAUGAAUGGGCCUGUUCACUGUUCCAGCAGCGUAGGGAAAUCGUGUGCUCCCUAUGUUCCAGCCUAGUAGAACAUAUGUCGUGUUUGCUUUUUUAAAUCAGGGUUGUUUGUUUUCACAGUAGUUAAGAAGUUGACAUUGGCAUGAAUUCCAAUUCUGUAGGAGAUGGAAUUUAAACAAGUAAGAUGAAGCAGGGUUGCUAUCCAGUUCCCUAACUUACAAGAAAUGAUCUUUUAAAAAAUCACAUCUGAAAUAGGAAAUCUGUUGUAAGAUUUGCCAGUGCAUUUCCUCUUAAUGUGCUGAAAUACAAUACUGUGGUACGACGUUUCUUGUCUUUCUGAUUUUUUAUUAUUUGUUGAGCAGUACAAUAGUAUGAUGAAGUUGGCUCUCUGUAUAAAGAUAGUAGCGAUAAUUGCUGCUUAUAUUUACAGAUGUGCAUUCCCCAUACUAUCUUUAGACAAGCCAGUAAGAAAACAUCUCCCACACUUAAUAACUGUUUCCCCAAAGGACCACAGGAUGUGGGGCUUUCCCAUAACAACAAAUAUCCUCAUCUUCAGUUUAGCUCCUUUCUACAUUGUAAAAUAUUUCAGUUUAAAGGCACUAGAGGAAGUUGACAUUUGGCUAAUAUUUCCUGUCACAAUCAAGAUUGUGGCUUCUGGGGACCUCUGAGCCCUUGAGAGAUUUAAAAAGUGCCCCCCAAAUGCGAGUGUUUCUUUCUAUCAGUUCAAAAGUAUACUACCGUGAGUAGAUAAAUAGGUACCACUGGGACGGGAAAGUAAACGGCGUUUCCAUGCGCUCUGGCACUCAUCAGGGUGUUCUGUUGCACCAGAAACAGUUUAGUCCUGCUGGCCACAUGACCUGGAAAGUUGUCUGCAGACAAACGCCGGCUCCCUCGGCCUGAAAGCGGAGAUGAGCACCGCACCCCAUAUUUGAAUUUGACUGGACUUAACCGUCCAGGCGCGGGUGGCGCUGUGGGUAAAACCUCAGUGCCUAGGACUUGCCGAUCGUAUGGUCGGCGGUUUGAAUCCCCGCGGCGGGGUGAGCUCCCGUCGUUCGGUCCCAGCUCCUGCCCACCUAGCAGUUCGAAAGCACUCUUAAGUGCAAGUAGAUAAAUAGGGACCACUUUAAAGCGGGAAGGUAAACGGAGUUUCUGUGUGCUGCGCUGGUGCUGGCUCGUCAGCUGCAGCUUCGUCACGCUGGCCACGUGACCCGGAAGUGUCUUCGGACGGCGCCGGCUCACGGCCUCUAGAGCGAGAUGAGCACGCAACCCUAGAGUCGGACACGACUGGCCCGUACGGGCAGGGGUACCUUUAACCGUCCAGGGGUCCUUUACUUUUACCUCUGAGAUAUCCAGUUGAACUUGGUAAUAUUUCUCAUAUUCCAUAAUAAUCUCUGGACUGCUGCCAUCAGGCACUUUUCCUUCAGCUUGUUUGCUUUCUCCUGCUCUUCUCCACUUCCCAACUAUAGGGAAAAGCAGCUGACCCCAAGAGAACAAGGAAGCAAAAUAAACCCCAGCAGAAUUGAUUUUCUCCUUCCUGGUAACCUAUUGAACAAGAGAGAAGGGUUUUGGGAUUUCGCCAUACCACCCACAACCUGUUACUGAUGCUUUCAUAGCAGUCAUCUGUUUAGCAGGUUCAUCACACACAAGGGCAUCCUAUACUGGUUGUGGGAAGUUCUUGCUGUUCCCAAUGUAGCGGCUUCCUGCCUGGAUCUGGCUUCUGAAACAGAAGGGAAAUUCAUUUGGGGAAGUCUGUUCCAUGAAUUGUCCUUGAUGAUUGUCUUUCCACUCCCAAGCACAUAUAUAACUUCAAGUCGCAGGGAGAGAUAGAAAAUCAGGAGAGUUGUAUUUAUAAGUAGUUUCCUAUUAUCUACGGGCAGCGCUCGAAGUUGGGAUGUCAUUCCAUUUCUUUUCAUAUGGACCUUUAACUUGUCACACUUUUGUUCUGGUGAACAUGACUGAGUCUGUCCUGAUCACCCUGCUUCUCCUCCUCCCAUUUCAGACACUGUUUAGGGAACCUGUGGCCCUCCAAAUGUUGUUGGCUGGCAAUGAUGGGAUUUGGAGUUCAUCCACAUGGUUUAAGGAGUCCUGGUUUAGGAAAUGGAAAAAAGUGCCAUUUCUCCACUCUUGAAAAGUUGCUGCUGCUGUUAUUUAUUUUUAUUAUUUUUAUUUUAUUGAAUUUCUAUUCCGCCCUAUACCUAGAGGUCACAGAAUAAAAUCUCUCGUUCCACAAGUUAGGACAGCAAUAUAAGACGUCAGGUUGGGGGCUUGGAUACUCUAAGUACGAGCCAGUUUCUUUCCGCUCUGAACUUGUAGGGGUUUCUAAAAUCAUAUGAAAUAGAAGUCUAGUAGCAAGAUUUUCUGAUACAUUUCUUUUUAAAUAUUUUGAUAUGUAAUAGGUUGCCCUGGCAGCUUCUAGUGGUUGGUUUGGAGGGAAACCAUGAGUGUUAGUUCACACGUAGUGCUAAGCCAGAGCUCUGAUUUGUUACUUCUUGCCUUGGCAAAAGGACUGGUGUGACAGGCAUGAUUUGAGCAGUGUACACUAGCAACCUGCUUGUUUGUGGUAAGCUGUGGUUUGUUUCAGACGCCUUCUGUUCUCUCUAUUGUUCCAUAUCCCCACUUGUAUCUUGCUCUGAUAUAAUUCCGUGAUCAUUCCAAAUUAGUACCCUGGCUUAGUUUCUUAAAUCCUUAUUUGUAGACGUACACAUGAAUUGUAUUAAAUUAUGGCAUCUGUCUAAGUGAUUGCAUUUUCUGAAGUGGGAAGAGUUGCACAAUCCCUGACCUCACUUUAAAGUCAUCAGAUAGCAGUGUGAGAAGGGGGAGAACAGCAGGCAAUUAGACUUGUCAUCACCAAAUGUGGCCGCUGCUUGUAUUAUCAACUGCAAUAAAGAUUGAAAGGACUGAGCCUUCCACCCCUAGCCUCACAUCAAUGCAAACAUAUACAUAGACAGCAUCUUAAAAAGUAGGGAUAUCACCUUGCCAACAAAGGUCCGUAUAGUAAAAGCUAUGGUUUUCCCAGUCAUGAUAUAUGGAAGUGAGAGCUGGAGCAUAAAGAAGGCUGAUCGCCGAAGAAUUGAUGCUUUUGAAUUAUGGUGCUGGAGGAGACUCUUGAGAGUCCCAUGGACUGCAAGAAGAUCAAACCUAUCCAUUCUUAAGGAAAUCAGCCUUGAGUGCUCACUGGAAGGACAGAUCCUGAAGCUGAGACUCCAAUACUUUGGCCACCUCAUGAAAAGAGAAGACUCCCUGGAAAAGACCCUGAUGCUGGGAAAGAUGGAGGGCACAAGAAGAAGGGGAUGACAGAGGACAAGAUGGUUGGAUAGUGUUCUCGAAGCUACCAGCAUGAGGCAGAGGAAGUGGUGGAUAGACCGACAUCAUCUGACACAUUUUCACAAGUUGCCAUUGGGAAAACAUAAGAGAUGCCUAGGGUUCCACCUUUCUUUCCUUACCCCUCUCCCCCAAAUAUAUUUUAUGAAAGUUUUCACAAUACAGUAAAAUAAUAUCUAGUAUAG